rnacentral:rRNA from 1 species
UUAUCGAGGGUGUGACGGAGAAGGAUAGUGUGUGCUAGCGAUUGGAAAUGCUAGUCUAAGCGUUUAGGAAGUUACGGUAGGCAAAUCCGCUGUAACAAUUCUGAGGCGUGAUGGGGAGGGCCAUAUAGGCCGAAGUACAUGAUUCCAUGCUUCCAAGAAAAGCAUCUAGAGAGAGAAGUAGUGCCCGUACCGCAAACCGACACAGGUAGAUGAGGAGAGAAUCCUAAGGCCGGCGGAAGAAUUGCAGUUAAGGAACUAGGCAAAUUGACCCCGUAAGUUCGCGAGAAGGGGUGCCUGCGAGAGCAGGCCGCAGAGAAUAGGCCCAAGCAACUGUUUAGCAAAAACACAGGUCUCUGCUAAAGCGUAAGCUGAUGUAUAGGGGCUGACGCCUGCCCGGUGCUGGAAGGUUAAGGGGAACACUUAGCGCAAGCGAAGGUGUGAACUUAAGCCCCAGUAAACGGCGGCCGUAACGAUAACGGUCCUAAGGUAGCGAAAUUCCUUGUCAGGUAAGUUCUGACCCGCACGAAUGGCGUAAUGACUUGGGCACUGUCUCAACUGCAAAUCCGGCGAAGUUGUAGUGCGAGUGAAGAUGCUCGCUACCCGCGAUUGGACGGAAAGACCCCGUAGAGCUUUACUGUAGCUUAGCAUUGAAUUCCGGUAUUGUCUGUACAGGAUAGGUGGGAGACUGGGAAACUAGGGCGUCAGCCUUAGUGGAGUCAACCUUGGGAUACCACCCUGACAGUACUGGGGUUCUAACAGGACGCCAUGAAUCUGGUGACUGGACAUUGUUAGGUGGGCAGUUUGACUGGGGCGGUCGCCUCCUAAAAAGUAACGGAGGCGCCCAAAGGUUCCCUCAGAACGGUCGGAAAUCGUUCGUAGAGUGCAAAGGCAGAAGGGAGCCUGACUGCGAGACAUACAAGUCGAGCAGGGACGAAAGUCGGGCUUAGUGAUCCGGUGGUACCUCGUGGGAGGGCCAUCGCUCAACGGAUAAAAGCUACCUCGGGGAUAACAGGCUGAUCUCCCCCAAGAGUCCACAUCGACGGGGAGGUUUGGCACCUCGAUGUCGGCUCGUCGCAUCCUGGGGCUGUAGUAGGUCCCAAGGGUUGGGCUGUUCGCCCAUUAAAGCGGCACGCGAGCUGGGUUCAGAACGUCGUGAGACAGUUCGGUCCCUAUCCGUCGCGGGCGUAGGAAAUUUGAGAGGAGCUGUCCUUAGUACGAGAGGACCGGGAUGGACUGACCUCUGGUGCACCAGUUGUUCCGCUAGGAGCAUGGCUGGGUAACUAAGUCGGGAAGGGAUAAACGCUGAAAGCAUCUAAGCGUGAAGCCUCCCUCAAGAUGAGAUUUCCCAUAGCAUAAGCUAGUAAGACCCCUUGAAGAACACAAGGUUGAUAGGUCAGAGGUGUAAGUGCGGUAACGUAUUUAGCUGACUGAUACUAAUAGGUCGAGGGCUUGACCAA